rnacentral:lncRNA from 1 species
AUGAAUGGGCCAAAACGGACAUGGCAGCAGGUCAAAAUCAAAUACAAGAACAUUCUGCAGAAUGCAGUGAAAAAGAAUACCCACAGACAAGGCACGGGUGGUGGGUCACCAAAGGCUGACCUUACCCCAGCAGAGGACAUGGCCUUGGAGCUAAAUAAAGGCAGGCCCGUCUUAGAGGGGAUCCCUGGGGGGAAAGAGACGAGCAUAGGUUCCUCCCAAGAUGCCACCCGCUUCAUUCAAGUGUCUGGCAGCACUGUGUUCCUGUUAGAGCCACCAGCACAAGCACCAGACGAUGCUGAUCCAGGUGAAAGCCCCAGUGCAGCAGCAACAGCACAUGAUGGAGACGAUGAUGAGGAGGAGACCAUCUCUGUGGAUUCCAGAAGGCAUGAGGACCCAGAUGCUAUACAGUGGGAAAACCAGCCUGGCAACAUAAGCUCACAAGCUAUCAGAAAGUUGUAUGGCAACCACCUCCGGCGCCAAAUAGAACUGGCAGACAUAGACAUUCAGUACAAGAAGAAAAAGAUAGAAAAUCUUGCACUGGAGUCCGAAAUAAAAAAAAGGACAAUUAGGAAACUGGACCUUGAAAUAAAAAAACUUGAGAGGGAGCUCCAAGAAGAUGACACAGCUCAAAAUAAAAAUUAGCAAUCAGUACAACCAAGUCAUCGUUAUAAGGCACCGGCCUCUUUUUCCCACUCCCCCAGCACCAGGUGUGGCCACUAGCCUAUAUGAAGGCCCAAAAUUGUGUGUUCCUUUCUGCUCUGACAAUGGCAUGCCCAUUCUUGCGAGAUGUGGUGGAUGAAGAAGCACUUGUGCUGAGGAGAGCCUUCAGGCGAGAAAGGGUCUUCAGGGACCGGUUGGACCCACUGGCCUUCCCUGAUGACCAUCUAUAUGAAAGAUACAGGUUUUCUGCAGAUGGCAUCAGGUAUCUAUCCCACAGUGCUACAUAAAUACAGACAUACAACAAUGGACUGUACCUACAGAUAGAUUUUGACCAUAAAUAAACUAUAUAUAAAUGUUUACCUAUGCAUAGGCUGAAAAGGAAAAAUAUAUAGACUAUAUGAAUGCAUCACAUAAUACUGAACCUAGAGUACCCUCAGUUUAUAAACCAUACUCACAAGUUCUUAAACUGUUCCCUCGGUUUACCAAAUUGUGCCCACGGAUUAAUAAACCGUACCCACGAAUUUUUAAA